CGUAGGUAACCUGCCCAUGUGUCCGGGAUAACUGCUGGAGACGGUAGCUAAAACCGGAUAGGUAUACAGAGCGCAUGCUCAGUAUAUUAAAGCGCCCAUCAAGGCGUGAACAUGGAUGGACCUGCGGCGCAUUAGCUAGUUGGUGAGGUAACGGCCCACCAAGGCGAUGAUGCGUAGCCGGCCUGAGAGGGUAAACGGCCACAUUGGGACUGAGACACGGCCCAA
rnacentral:rRNA from 1 species